rnacentral:rRNA from 1 species
UACGUAGGGGGCUAGCGUUGUCCGGAUUUAUUGGGCGUAAAGAGCGUGUAGGCGGCCAGGUAGGUCUGCUGUGAAAACUCGAGGCUCAACCUCGAGAUGUCGGCGGAAACCAUCUGGCUAGAGUCCGGAAGAGGAGAGUGGAAUUCCUGGUGUAGCGGUGAAAUGCGCAGAUAUCUGGAGGAACACCGGUGGCGAAGGCGGCAUCCUGGACCGACACUGACGCUGAGGCGCGAAAGCUAGGGUAGCAAACGGG